CAGCUGUGUGCGCACUGGAGUGGGGAGAAGGAGCCUCCCUCUGCCUACGGACCAAGGCUGCCCUGUAAGUCGGGGAUUGGCUUUGCCUUGGAGUCCCAGGCCCUUUGCAAUUGAGGCAGCGUCAGGGGACCCCUGUAAGCAGGGAAGUUGACCCUUUGGCGGCUGCUUUCUGUGUGCCCAGCUCCUUUUGCCCAGUCUGCCCGCCUCUGUGACCCUCCGCAGCACCGGCUGGAGCUCCGCAGUGCAUCAGCAUGGAGCCACUGCAGAAGAAAGAAGCAGCAAGCGUGUGGAACCUGGAGGCAACAGCGAGCAAGGAAAGGAUGCUGUAUUUGUUGGUUAUAUUGGCGUUUCUUUGGUCUCUUGUCAUUACAUUUUUAUUGUUUAUUUAUUGGCUUAUUUGUUCCUCAUUGCCCUGCAUGAUCCCUCUUAAUAAAGUUUUUGUUGCUGUGUCUGUGCUAUGAUA